UACGUAGGGUGCGAGCGUUGUCCGGAAUUAUUGGGCGUAAAGGGCUCGUAGGCGGUUUGUCGCGUCGGGAGUGAAACCAUAGGGCUUGAACUCAUGGCUUGCUUCCGAUACGGGCAGGACUAGAGGUAUGGCAGGGGGAGAACGGAAAUUCCUGGUGUAGCGGUGAAAAUGCGCAGAUAUCAGGAGGAACACCGAUGGCGAAGGCAGGUCUCUGGGCCGAUACUGACGCUGAGGAGCGAAAGCGUGGGGAGCGAACAGG
rnacentral:rRNA from 1 species